AGAAUCAACGCUGGCGGCGUGCCUAACACAUGCAAGUCGAACGAGAAAGUGGAGCAAUCCAUGAGUAAAGUGGCGCACGGGUGAGUAACACGUGAAUAAUCUACCUCCGAGUGGGGAAUAACUGAGAGAAAUCUUAGCUAAUACCGCAUAAUACCCACGGGUCAAAGCAGCAAUGCGCUUGGAGAGGAGUUCGCGGCCGAUUAGCUAGUUGGCGGGUAAUGGCCCACCAAGGCGAUGAUCGGUA
rnacentral:rRNA from 1 species